rnacentral:lncRNA from 1 species
AAUUCCAAAUGAUGAAAUGAGUUAUCUUGAUCAAAAGGUCAAGAACCUACCUUACUUCUCUUAGAGAUAACUUGCAUCAACCGUUGUGGUAUUGAUACUUGUCUUCAGCUAGUAAAAGACUAAAAGUGAAAGUUUCACAAUUGAAAUAAAGCUAAGGGAAGAUGCUAUGCUCCAUUUAUUAUUAUUAUUAUUGAUGUGGUCGAGAAGUAAAGCCAUGCAUAUGAUGAAGUAUAAAUAAGAAUGCAAUAGCCCGGAAUUCAUUUACACAAACACUUCAAUAUCCUUUUGAUCACUUUUGCAAACAUCAGUUUGUCUCCUCUUGUAUUCACCAUGGUUGAUGCCAUCGUUUCCUCUCUUGUGGAGCAGCUGACUUCCUUCGCUGCUAAAGAGAUAAUACAACAGGUGAUCGAAGUUACACCCCCCAUAUUAUAAAUACUUCUAAUGAUUUUAAUUGGUUUUGUUUUUAUCGGAAACAUUAACUUUGCUUUAUUUUAUUUAUUUAGGCAUUUUAAAUUUUAAAAUUUGAAUUGAAUUCAAUUAAAAUGUGAUGUAGCUAGUAACCACUUUUUUUAUUUCAUUUAUAUUCUCAAUAACUACCCAUAUUUUGGUAACUUACUGUAACCCCCGUAUCUAAGAAAUGAUCAAAACCCACAAUUUUAACUCCACAUAAAUAUUCCAUGUUGAGCUAAGUUUUUGCAUAACAUUCAAGUUUGUUAAAUAGUCAUUAAUUUAAUGUUUAGUAAAAACUUAUCUCUGAAAAUUUUCAUAAUUUUCUUACAUUCUUUGAGUUUGGUGAGUGGCUUCAUAUAAUUUCUUUUCAAUUUAAAUUUUAAUUUGGUUUCUGAUAUAGUCUCUUUACUGAAUUUUAUAUCUUUUAUGAUUCUUGGAUUUUGGGCUCCAACUUUUUAGGAUUUGAUAGUCACAUUUUAUGGCAUGCUUAGAUUGAUUUUCAUGAUUUUUAGUACUCGUUAAGUGACUGAGAAUUUGACAAAAGUUUGAAAGGAAAUCCGUUUCACGAUUCUUAUGUGGAAGGUUCGUAAAAUCAUGAAAUUUGGAUAGGAUUCACUAGCAAUAUGUACAAGACUCUCCAUGAAGUUUCAUAAUUUUUCAUUCGGUCUGGGGUGGUACAGGUGAAGCUUGUGGUUGGUGUUGAAAAAGAAGUGAAAAGCCUUACCAGCCACCUUCAAGCCAUUCAAGCUGUGCUCGAUGAUGCAGAGGAAAAGCAAGUGAAGGACAAAGCUGUUAGACAUUGGCUGGGUAGGCUCAAGUAUGCAUCCUACGACAUUGAAGAUGUGUUGGAUGAGUGGAUCACAGAUAGAC